UUAAGUGUUUGAAUGAUUUCUUUUAAUUCUCGCCACAUCUGUGACACUGAUGAAGAAAGCCAGAAUCAGGGAAUUUAGCUUCCCCUCGGUCAUUCAGCUGCAGUCGAGAUUAGAAUCCAGAAACCUCUGGCUCCGAAACAAUUACACUUUAUGACUUUUUGAUGACAGGAGAAUUUCACUCCCCUCCCUGUUUUCUUUUUCUUCUUUCCAAGGGUCCCUAGUAGAUGAUUUCGUUAUUUAAGAUGUAAUGUGGUAUAGAGGAAAGAGGCGGGCUUUGGAACCACGCAGACCUGAGUCGGAAUUACGUCUUCUGGACUUAUUAGUGGACUGGCUUUGGGAAAAUGACUUAACAUCUGUAGAUUUUGAUUUUCUCAUCUUCCAAAGUGAGGUCACAAUGCCCUAGAACCCAACCCAUGGCUUGUACUUUCUGCGUUGUUCCAGACUCUGUGCCAGUGGAGUGCCGCACUGCCUCAGCCCCCACAGCUGGCGAUUGGACAAGAAUCUCUUCCUGACCCCAGAUGGCAUCACAGCUUCCUCAGUCUGAUCCUGUCAGCAUAUUUUUUCCAGGCACCUGAUUCUUGGACGUGGCAGCAAUAAAACCAACCGGGAUUAUUUGGCCGGCCCCCUCUGGAGCAGGCCGGGAUCCACCUUUGCUUCCAACAUCAUAUGUCACUUCAUACUUUCACAGUCCUUCAAAUCUCUUCUCCCGUCUGAGCUUCAUGUGCUGGGAGGUCCCAUGUACUCACCUUGGCAUAGGUGGGGAGCCGUUGGUCCUGACUGGUUGAUGGCUGACUCCCAGUUCUGUGUUUAUCCACUGAAGCCCAGUGCAGUUGUUGUGCAAGGUGUGGGCAAAGGACCAGGAGAGGGGACCAAGUACCUCUAAGCUGAAGAAUGGUGUGCAUCUCUCCCCCUUCCACCAUUUCUGUUCGGGUUUGACUCACAGAGCCUUGCAGCUUCACAGUCACUUAUAAGAGGAGGUGGUAAAGACAGCUGCUGGAGAGAACAUCUGGCAGGGCUCUGAGCAAAUGUUCCUACCAGGGGGAUGUGAAGCCUGAGACCCUGACUGGCAUCUGAGCCCUGGGAUGCUGAGCGUUCCCCAACUCGUUAAUAAAAGGAUCUGCUGGACUCAUUGUAAGAUGGGAAUGACAAAAACUGUCUGGUUUACAUACGAGAUCACAGAUCAGGAAUGUUGGAGCGUUUCACUGGCAAGGAAUGAAGAGCUCAGCUACAAGCCUCGGAAAACAGGAGCAGGCACAGAGCAACAGCUCGUUGUGUGCUUCUUGCUCUGGGGAAAGGACGUAGUGCCUGUGGACACGGGAGUCCACUAUCAAUGCAUGGUUACACACACCAACCGCCUGCUCUGUGUGCUGGACCCAGAAACCAUAGAGCCUUUUCCCAGCCCUUACAUUAGGACAGAGUACGAGGCUCCGAACUCUCUCCAGUGCAUCCAAGUAUCCUGGGUUUCCUCAUUUUCUGAUCACAUUAUUGACUGGAAGGGGGAGGGGAGGGAGUACAGGUAACUAAGAAGUAGAGCGAGCACAUAGGUGUAUGAACUAUUAUAAA
rnacentral:lncRNA from 1 species